UACGUAGGGGGGCAAGCGUUGUCCGGAUUUAUUGGGCGUAAAGAGCGUGUAGGCGGCUUUACAGGUCCGUUGUGAAAACUCGAGGCUCAACCUCGAGACGCCGGUGGAAACCGUAAAGCUAGAGUCCGGAAGAGGAGAGUGGAAUUCCUGGUGUAGCGGUGAAAUGCGCAGAUAUCAGGAGGAACACCCCGUGGCGAAGGCGGCCCCCCUGGUCGGAUACUGACGCUGAGACGCGAAAGCGUGGGGAGCAA
rnacentral:rRNA from 1 species